GGGGAAUAUUGGACAAUGGGGGCAACCCUGAUCCAGCAAUGCCGCGUGUGUGAAGAAGGCCUUCGGGUUGUAAAGCACUUUAGUUGGGGAAGAAGGUGUAUUGUUUAAGAGAUGAUGCAUUUGACUGUACCCAAAGAAUAAGCACCGGCUAACUCUGUGCCAGCAGCCGCGGUAAUACAGAGGGUGCGAGCGUUAAUCGGAAUUACUGGGCGUAAAGGGCACGUAGGCGGUUGAUUAAGCUGGAUGUGAAAUCCCUGGGCUUAACCUAGGAAUGGCAUACAGGACUGAUUGACUAGAGUAUUGUAGAGGGUAGUGGAAUUUCCGGUGUAGCGGUGAAAUGCGUAGAGAUCGGAAGGAACACCAGUGGCGAAGGCGGCUACCUGGACAAAUACUGACGCUGAGGCGCGAGAGCGUGGGGAGCAAAC
rnacentral:rRNA from 1 species